GGCUGCUUGGAUCUUUAAUUCUCGAUUGAUUUCUUCUUCACUCAUGGUUGAUCCUGUUACUGAGAAUCGACGAUUCACUUCAAUUCGCUCCUUCAAACUUGAAUUAGAUUGAGAUUUGGAUCUGUGGAAAUAAACAAACAAAAACUCAUGCUUCUUUGGCAAUUAUUUGGUGACGAGUGGAUUAAAGAAAUUAACUACAAUUUACAACCAUUUGAGAAAAGGCAUAAAAGUUGAAUGUUUAUUACCAAUCAUCAGAACAAAUAACGACCAACUCUUAUUACCUUUUGUUUGAAUCACAAGUUAACAUGAAAAUUCAGUUGAAUUGCAUUUCCGUUUACCAAUGAUUUCUACGUACUAUUCAACUGUAACCCUUUUUGACCUGUUCUCAUACUCGUUUUCAUGGAAACAAUGAACAAUUUACCCGAUAUAUUCUGAUGAAAAUAUAAACCAGAAUGAGGGGAAGGAUAAGCGAUUAUGUGAUUAAACUAAUGCUACUACAACAACACUUGGUUUGCUGAUAACAAUCAAAGUAAUCAAACUAUCGUUUUGUCGCUUUUUCCUAUUAAAUUGCUUGGUAAUUUUCAUUUGACUUCCACCAGAAUUUUAUCAACUUUUAAGCUGAUGAUUGUGAUAACCAAGCCUUUGGAUACUAAUUCAGUUUUAUCACAUUUCAGAUCAACUUUCUCUGGAAAAGUAAUUAAUUCUCACUCGUCAACCCGGUUUUCAAUUUAAUUCCAUCUACUGAUAAUGAGCAAUUAAACGUAUCCUAAUCUCACCAUCUACUUACAAAACGUUUGAUACUCUUGGCAGGAAACCAUUUGUGUCAGGGAUUGGCGGAGGUGGAUGAGGUGGAUGAGGCUGUUGCCGUCCCGAGUUUAUGCUCUCUAGUACGGUCAUUGGCUCUGUGGAUUUCAAUGGAAGAGAAACAAGAUGAUGUAACAUGUAGAAAUUUCAGUUUUUUCUUCUCACUGUAAAUUACUGAAGCCUUUUUGCUUCUCACUCAUUUGGGAAAAAGAUUCAAGACUCCAGUUUGUUUCUAUCAAAUGAUAAAUCGACAAUGAUAAUCGAUGGUGACGUUUAAUGUUGAUACUUUUUUUGGAAUCACAAUCAUGGACUUACUUUUAUUGUAAUAACUUGGAUCACUUUUCCUCGCUUUGUUGU